rnacentral:rRNA from 1 species
CCUUACCUACUCUUGACAUCCAGAGAACUUUCCAGAGAUGGAUUGGUGCCUUCGGGAACUCUGAGACAGGUGCUGCAUGGCUGUCGUCAGCUCGUGUUGUGAAAUGUUGGGUUAAGUCCCGCAACGAGCGCAACCCUUAUCCUUUGUUGCCAGCGGUUAGGCCGGGAACUCAAAGGAGACUGCCAGUGAUAAACUGGAGGAAGGUGGGGAUGACGUCAAGUCAUCAUGGCCCUUACGAGUAGGGCUACACACGUGCUACAAUGGCGCAUACAAAGAGAAGCGACCUCGCGAGAGCAAGCGGACCUCAUAAAGUGCGUCGUAGUCCGGAUUGGAGUCUGCAACUCGACUCCAUGAAGUCGG